GUAGGCGGAUUAGAAAGUUAGGGGUGAAAUCCCGAGGCUCAACCUCGGAACUGCCUCUAAAACUUCUAGUCUAGAGAUCGGGAGAGGUGUAUGGAACUCCUAGUGUAGAGGUGGAAUUCGUAGAUAUUAGGAAGAACACCAGUGGCGAAGGCGAUACACUGGCCCGAUACUGACGCUGAGGUACGAAAGCGUGGGGAGCAAACAGGAUUAGAUACCCUGGUAGUCCACGCCGUAAACUAUGAGAGCUAGCCGUUGGGAAGUUUACUUUUCAGUGGCGCAGCUAACGCAUUAAGCUCUCCGCCUGGGGAGUACGGUCGCAAGAUUAAAACUCAAAUGAAUUGACGGGGGCCCGCACAAGCGGUGGAGCAUGUGGUUUAAUUCGAAGCAACGCGAAGAACCUUACCAGCUCUUGACAUACCUAUCGCAGUCUCCAGAGAUGGAGACCUUCAGUUCGGCUGGAUAGGAUACAGGUGCUGCACGGCUGUCGUCAGCUCGUGUCGUGAGAUGUUGGGUUAAGUCCCGCAACGAGCGCAACCCUCGCCCUUAGUUGCCAGCAUUUAGUUGGGCACUCUAGGGGGACUGCCGGUGAUAAGCCGGAGGAAGGUGGGGACGACGUCAAGUCAUCAUGGCCCUUACGGGCUGGGCUACACACGUGCUACAAUGGCGGUGACAGAGGGCAGCCACUCCGCGAGGAGGAGCUAAUCCCUAAAAACCGUCUCAGUUCGGAUUGCACUCUGCAACUCGGGUGCAUGAAGUUGGAAUCGCUAGUAAUCGUGGGUCAGCAUACCACGGUGAAUACGUUCCCGGGCCUUGUACACACCGCCCGUCACACCAUGGGAGUUGGUUCUACCCGAAGGCGCUGCGCUAACUUUUGAGGCAGGCGACCACGGUAGGGUCAGCGACUGGGGUGAAGUCGUAACAAGGUAGCCCUAGGGGAACCUGGGGCUG
rnacentral:rRNA from 1 species